AAACACCAAAUAUACGACGUGACAUUAUCUAGGAUGGAUGUAAUCUACUCAAUAACAUGUCCAGGAAGGUGUUUACUUAGCCCUUACAACUGCAGUUAAAGAACAGGGAUAUGGGUCUGGCUGUUUUCCACAUGAAUCAAUGAACACAAGAAUACAUCUCAAAGAAAUCAAGAGAGAAAACAUAAGAUGAUCAAUGAAAGAAAAGAUAAGAGCCUUCAUAAAAAGAAAUUACAAGAAAAAUUAGAAGGA